rnacentral:rRNA from 1 species
AUCCCAGACUCCUACGGGAGGCAGCAGUGAGGAAUAUUGGUCAAUGGUCGGGAGACUGAACCAGCCAAGCCGCGUGAGGGAUGAAGGUACAGAGUAUCGUAAACCUCUUUUGUCAGGGAACAAAGGCGGGGACGUGUCCCCGGAUGAGGGUACCUGAAGAAAAAGCAUCGGCUAACUCCGUGCCAGCAGCCGCGGUAAUACGGAGGAUGCGAGCGUUAUCCGGAUUUAUUGGGUUUAAAGGGUGCGCAGGCGCCUUGUUAGGUCAGGGGUAAAGGCCGGGGGCUAACCCCCGGCGAGCCGUUGAAACUGGCGGGCUGGAGUUGGAGAGAAGUACGCGGAAUGCGCGGUGUAGCGGUGAAAUGCUUAGAUAUCGCGCAGAACCCCGAUUGCGAAGGCAGCGUACCGGCUCCACACUGACGCUGAGGCACGAAAGCGUAGGUAUCGAACAGGAUUAGAUACCCUUGUA